rnacentral:rRNA from 2 species
AGGUUAAGUUAACAAGGGCGCAUGGUGAAUGCCUUGGCACUAGGAGCCGAUGAAGGACGGGACUAACACCGAUAUGCUUCGGGGAGCUGUACGUAAGCUAUGAUCCGGAGAUUUCCGAAUGGGGCAACCCAGCAGUUUUAAUCAACUGUUACCACUAGAUGAAUUCAUAGUCUAGUUGGAGGUAAACGCUGUGAACUGAAACAUCUCAUUAGCAGCAGGAAUAUAAAGAAAUUUCGAUUCCCUAAGUAGCGGCGAGCGAACGGGGAACAGCCCAAACCAAAGUGCUUGCACUUUGGGGUUGUAGGACUGAACAUUUGAGUUACCAAAGAACUUGAUAGUCGAAGGAUUUGGGAAAAUCCGCCAUAGAUGGUGAUAGCCCAGUAGAUUAAAUCAAAUUCUCUCAGUUCAGGAUCCUGAGUACGGCGGAACACGUGAAAUUCCGUCGGAAUCCGGGAGGACCAUCUCCCAAGGCUAAAUACUACCUAGUGACCGAUAGUGAACCAGUACCGUGAGGGAAAGGUGAAAAGCACCCCGGGAGGGGAGUGAAAUAGUUCCUGAAACCAUGUGCCUACAAUAAGUCAGAGCGCGUUAAUGCGUGAUGGCGUGCCUUUUGUAGAAUGAACCGGCGAGUUAUGAUCCCGUGCAAGGUUAAGACUAAAAAGUCGGAGCCGUAGCGAAAGCGAGUCUGAAAUGGGCGAUUUGAGUACGAGGUUAUAGACCCGAAACCAGGUGACCUAUCCAUGUCCAGGUUGAAGGUGCGGUAAAACGCACUGGAGGACCGAACCCGUGUAAGUUGAAAAUUGCUGGGAUGAGGUGUGGAUAGCGGUGAAAUUCCAAACGAACUUGGAGAUAGCUGGUUCUCUCCGAAAUAGCUUUAGGGCUAGCCUCGGAUUAAGGAUCAUGGAGGUAGAGCACUAUUUGGACUAGGGGCCCGUCUUGGGUUACUGAAUUCAGAUAAACUCCGAAUGCCAUUGAUUCAUGUCCGGGAGUCAGACGAUGAGUGAUAAGAUCCACCGUCGAAAGGGGAACAGCCCAGACCAUCAGUUAAGGUCCCUAAAUGUAUGCUAAGUGGAAAAGGAUGUGGAGUUGCAUAGACAACUAGGAUGUUGGCUCAGAAGCAGCCACCAUUUAAAGAGUGCGUAAUAGCUCACUAGUCGAGUGAUCCUGCGCCGAAAAUGUACCGGGGCUAAGCAUACUACCGAAACCAUGGAUGCGACCAUUAGGUCGCGUGAUAGGAGAGCGUUCUAAGGGCGGUGAAGCAAGAUCGUGAGGACUUGUGGAGCGCUUAGAAGUGAGAAUGCCGGUAUGAGUAGCGAAAGAUAGGUGAGAAUCCUAUCCACCGAAUGACUAAGGUUUCCUGGGGAAGGCUCGUCCUCCCAGGGUUAGUCGGGACCUAAGUCGAGGCCGAGAGGCGUAGACGAUGGAUAACAGGUUGAGAUUCCUGUACUAGUUAAGUGCGUUUGAGCAAUGGAGGGACGCAGGAGGCUAAGAUGUGCAUUCUGUUGGAUUAGAAUGUCCAAGCAGUAAGUCUUGUGGAGAGUCAAAUGCUUUUCACUUUAAGGACAAGCUGUGAUGGGGAGCGAAAUUUAGUAGCGAAGCGUCUGAUGUCACACUGCCGAGAAAAGCUUCUAGUGAGUACUUAACUACCCGUACCGCAAACCGACACAGGUAGUCGAGGAGAGAAUCCUAAGGUGAGCGAGUGAACUCUCGUUAAGGAACUCGGCAAAAUGACCCCGUAACUUCGGGAGAAGGGGUGCUGAUCGCAAGAUCAGCCGCAGUGAAUAGGCCCAGGCGACUGUUUAUCAAAAACACAGGUCUCUGCAAAAUCGUAAGAUGACGUAUAGGGGCUGACGCCUGCCCGGUGCUGGAAGGUUAAAAGGAUGGGUUAGCUUCGGCGAAGCUCAGAAUUGAAGCCCCAGUAAACGGCGGCCGUAACUAUAACGGUCCUAAGGUAGCGAAAUUCCUUGUCGGGUAAGUUCCGACCCGCACGAAAGGCCGUAACGAUCUGGGCACUGUCUCAACGAGAGACUCGGUGAAAUUAUAUUGUCCGUGAAGAUGCGGACUACCCGCGACAGGACGGAAAGACCCCAUGGAGCUUUACUGUAGCUUGAUAUUGAGUGUUUGUACAGCUUGUACAGGAUAGGUAGGAGCCAUAGAAACCGGAACGCUAGUUUCGGUGGAGGCGUUGGUGGGAUACUACCCUCGCUGUAUGACCACUCUAACCCGCACCACUAAUCGUGGUGGGAGACAGUGUCAGGUGGGCAGUUUGACUGGGGCGGUCGCCUCCUAAAAAGUAACGGAGGCGCCCAAAGGUUCCCUCAGAAUGGUUGGAAAUCAUUCGCAGAGUGUAAAGGCACAAGGGAGCUUGACUGCGAGACAGACAGGUCGAGCAGGGACGAAAGUCGGGCUUAGUGAUCCGGUGGUACCGUAUGGAAGGGCCAUCGCUCAACGGAUAAAAGCUACCCUGGGGAUAACAGGCUUAUCUCCCCCAAGAGUCCACAUCGACGGGGAGGUUUGGCACCUCGAUGUCGGCUCAUCGCAUCCUGGGGCUGUAGUCGGUCCCAAGGGUUGGGCUGUUCGCCCAUUAAAGCGGUACGCGAGCUGGGUUCAGAACGUCGUGAGACAGUUCGGUCCCUAUCCGUCGCGGGCGUAGGAAAUUUGAGAGGACCUGUCCUUAGUACGAGAGGACCGGGAUGGACAUACCUCUGGUGUACCAGUUGUGCCGCCAGGCGCAUCGCUGGGUAGCUACGUAUGGAUGUGAUAAACGCUGAAAGCAUCUAAGUGUGAAACACACCUCGAGAUGAGAUUUCCCAUUCCUUUAUGGAAGUAAGACCCCUGAAAGAUGAUCAGGUAGAUAGGUUAGAAGUGGCAGUGCGGUGACGCAUGAAGCGGACUAAUACUAAUCGGUCGAGGACUUAACCAAG